GACGAACCGUGCGAACGUUAUUCGGAAUCACUGGGCUUAAAGCGCGUGUAGGCGGACGGCACGUCGGUCGCUGAAAGCCCCCGGCUCAACCGGGGAACGGGCGCCGAUACGACCGUCCUGGAGGGACGUAGGGGGACCUGGAACUUCCGGUGGAGCGGUGAAAUGCGUUGAGAUCGGAAGGAACGCCCGUGGCGAAAGCGAGGUCCUGGACGUUUUCUGACGCUGAGACGCGAAAGCCAGGGGAGCGAACGGG
rnacentral:rRNA from 1 species